CAAAGGAUCAUGAAGAGGAAAAAGUAAUAUCCAUUGUACUAUACAAUAGUGCUGUGUUUUCUUUUUUUUCUGCAACCUUUUUGUACUUCUCCAGUUUACCUGGAAGUACUACUUUUGUUAUUCGAGAAAUAAUUCAUUUAGAGCAAUUGUUAUUUUUGCUGGGAGCAUUGAUAGUAUAUGAGCACUUUUAUAAAAUAUUAUUCAGAGGAGAAAAAGAUUUAGAAGACGAUUCGGAUCCGCUAGAAACAAGUUUCGCUCUGAGCAGCAAGCAUACCGUUAGUUAAAGGUUAAUUCUGACAAAAUUAGGG